rnacentral:rRNA from 1 species
UGGGGAAUAUUGGACAAUGGGGGCAACCCUGAUCCAGCAAUGCCGCGUGUGUGAAGAAGGCCUGAGGGUUGUAAAGCACUUUCAGUGGGGAGGAGGGUAUAUAGGUUAAGAGCUAGUAUAUUGGACGUUACCCACAGAAGAAGCACCGGCUAACUCCGUGCCAGCAGCCGCGGUAAUACGGAGGGUGCGAGCGUUAAUCGGAAUUACUGGGCGUAAAGAGUGCGUAGGUGGUUGUUUAAGUUAUCUGUGAAAUUCAUGGGCUCAACCUGUGACGGUCAGAUAAUACUGAAUGACUCGAGUAUAGGAGAGGGUAGUGGAAUUUCCGGUGUAGCGGUGAAAUGCGUAGAGAUCGGAAGGAACACCAGUGGCGAAGGCGGCUACCUGGCCUAAUACUGACACU